GUAGGUGAACCUGCGGAAGGAUCAUUAUUGAAUAAAUCUGACAUGGUUGUAGCUGGCUCCUCGGGGCAUGUGCUCGCCUGUCACCUUUAUCUUUCCACCUGUGCACACACUGUAGUCCUGGAUACCUCUCGCCGCAAGACGGAUGCAAAGACCGCCGUUCCACCUUCGAAAGGUCGGCUUUCACUGAAUUUCCAAGUCUAUGAUUAUCACAUACCCCAAUUGAAUAUUUCAGAAUGCUAUCAAAGGGCCUUGUGCCUAUAAACCUAUACAACUUUCAGCAACGGAUCUCUUGGCUCUC
rnacentral:misc_RNA from 1 species